rnacentral:rRNA from 1 species
UGCCAGACUCCUACGGGAGGCAGCAGUGGGGAAUAUUGCACAAUGGGGGGAACCCUGAUGCAGCGACGCCGCGUGGGCGAGGAAGUAUUUCGGUAUGUAAAGCCCUAUCGGCAGGGAAGAAGAAAUGACGGUACCUGAAUAAGAAGCACCGGCUAAAUACGUGCCAGCAGCCGCGGUAAUACGUAGGGGGCAAGCGUUAUCCGGAUUUACUGGGGGUAAAGGGAGCGUAGACGGCAGUGCAAGUCUGGAGUGAAGGGCGGGGGCUCAACCCCCGGACUGCUCUGGAAACUGUACGGCUGGAGUGCAGGAGAGGUAAGUGGAAUUCCUAGUGUAGCGGUGAAAUGCGUAGAUAUUAGGAGGAACACCAGUGGCGAAGGCGGCUCACUGGACUGUAACUGACGUUGAGGCUCGAAAGCGUGGGGAGCAAACAGGAUUAGAUACCCCCGUAAA